rnacentral:miRNA from 1 species
GCGGGGCUAGGGCCGGGA